GGCUGAACACUGUGAUUAAAAGGACCAUAAAUUGACUGUGAAUGUCAAAUGUCAAUGUUGUUUUGUGGAACUAACCUCUACCUGAAGAUGAGACAGCCAGUAAUUUGAGCUGUUGCAUCUUUCACCAUUGGAAAUUAACUCUUAUGAUACGAUUACAGUUUUUUACAAUCGCUAUGACAGUUUUUUCAAUACAUUUAACAAGUUUCCUAAACUCUUAACACGGCUAGCACAACAUCCAUCUUUGUAGGCUAUACAAUUAACACAUUUCUUGUUGCUUUGACACAAAAUGCAUACAGUUAACACAAAUUUAAAAUGCUUGAACUUCUUUUACACACAAGCUCAACCAAGACCAAAACAAUGUAAUUUUACAGUCAAAUUUACAAAUGCUUUCACACUGUAUGUCAGAACAGAUAACACCAUGUUCUAAACCUAACCUUACAGGCUAAAGUCAAGGUAAACAGCUGUUUAUAUUGUUAAUUGAAACACAAAUAUAUUCCCUGUAUCUUAUUCCAUUGCUAAUGAGAAACAGCUUAUUGAAGUUAUGCAAAUAUAUAAAUCACAGCUGAUUCCCAUCUAGGAAGCACACUCAGGUGUUGAGGUUCUUUCAAUCGCAUGAUCAUAUGUUCUAAAAGAGUACUCUUUGGGCUGAUAUUGUGUGGAAAAGCAACAAUAUUGAGCAACACAAAGAAAGAAAAAAAUGCCUGCACGAGGGAGAGGAAGACGAGUACCAGGACAAGGGAGAGGAGUGGGACAAGGACAAGGGAGAGGAGUGGGACAAGGACAAGGGAGAGGAGUGGGGCAAGGACAAGGGAGAGGAGUGGGGCAAGGACAAGGACAAGGGAGAGGAGUGGGGCAAGGACAAGGACAAGGGAGAGGAGUGGGGCAAGGACAAGGACAAGGGAGAGGAGUGGGGCAAGGACAAGGGAGAGGAGUGGGACAAGGACAAGGGAGAGGAGUGGGACAAGGACAAGGGAGAGGAGUGGGGCAAGGACAAGGGAGAGGAGUGGGGCAAGGACAAGGGAGAGGAGUGGGGCAAGGACAAGGGAGAGGAGUGGGGCAAGGACAAGGGAGAGGAGUGGGGCAAGGACAAGGGAGAGGAGUGGGGCAAGGACAAGGGAGAGGAGUGGGGCAAGGACAAGGGAGAGGAGUGGGGCAACGACAAGGGAGAGGAGUGGGGCAACGACAAGGGAGAGGAGUGGGGCAACGACAAGGGAGAGGAGUGGGGCAAGGACAAGGGAGAGGAGUGGGGCAAGGACAAGGGAGAGGAGUGGGGCAAGGUAGAGGGAGAGGAGUUAGAAUGCGUGGUGGCGCUCAAAGAAGGACCAGAGCUAGGGUAACUGAUCAAAUAAGAGCUACUAUCAUUGACCAUGUCAUAAACCACGGGCUAUCAUACAGAGAGGCUGGUGAACGAGUACAGCCAAAUCUCAGCCGGGACACAGUGGCAUCCAUUGUCCGUAUUUUCAGAGAAACCAACAGGAUUCAACGUCUACCUCCCUCAGGGGGCAGAGGAAAGCUCCUGAAUGAAGAACAGGAACAUGCUAUUGUCAACAUGGUGAUUGCUGACAAUGAAAUAAAACUGAAGGACAUUCAGUCCAGAGUUGUAGAGGACAACCUUGUCUUUGGGAACAUUGCAGCAAUCAGCAUAACAUCCAUUUCUCGGACUCUAGCUAAACACAGAGUCCGAAUGAAACAACUAUACAAAGUUCCUUUUGAAAGGAACAGUGAACGCAUCAAAGAACUCCGUCACCAAUACGUCCAGGUAAGGUUAUGCAAUACAGUCAUUACUGUACUAUACACAGUGUGUUUUGCAGUAAACUACUCUAUAAACCUGGAGUACACUAGGACAUACAGUAGAUAUACAGUACAGUACAGCAUUUACAUACACUGGCCCUCAUUUAUCAAAAGUGCGUACACCAAAUUUCCAGCGUACACCUGGCGUACACCCAAAACCACGGUGACUUUGAGAUUUAUCAAUAUGGACGUUGGCGUAUGGCACUCUCAAAUCCUACGCCAGCUCAGGAGGUGUACGCAUGUUUUGAGUUAGUGCGGAAAUGCGCAGAAAAAAAUCCUAACGCACUGACAAACUAAAAGUUAUGAUAUAUUAUGACCCACUUUAAAAAAACAACAACAACAUAAUUACAAACUUCAGUGUUUAUUUUUGCGCAACAUGAACUUAAAGGUUUCAUUUGUGUGACUUUACCAAAGCAUUUGAUUUAUAUGUAUUCCUUCAGAUGCGAGCCUGUGCGCUUUACAUGACGUUUCAGGGUUAGGCCCGGUAGUUGCGCACGGACUGGGUUCAGUAAUAAAAGGCUUUUAAUGACCAAAAUAUUAUUCAGACUGCCAAAAUAAUAAAAAUGAUGUUCUUCUUCUUUUAAAUAAUAAUAGAAAUAAUAAUAAUAACGACAUUCUUCUUCUAAAUAACAAUAAACGUCAUUAAUAAUGAAUAUCAUGAAAUAAUAAGACGAAUAUUAGAGAAACAUAAUUGGCAAAAGGGCCACAGUUACCGUGCCGGGCCAGAGAGGAGCCAACAUUACCACGUGCACCGCAAUCUCCAACAACGGUGCACUCCUGCAUAAAUGAGAGAUUGGCCCCUACAACACAGUCCGCCUUCUCCUGUUUUUAGAAGACCUGCACGAAAGACUGGUGCCAGAGGUAGAAAGGGGACAGGUGGGAGUCCACUUGCCAAUGUAUGUGAUCAUAUGGGACAAUGUGGCAUUCCAGACAGCCCCACAACAUCCAGAGACUUGAGGUACUCAGGGCGGAUCUCAUCCACCCCCGGUGCCUUGCCACCGAGGAGUUUCUUGACCACCUCAGUGACUUCAGCCCGGGUGAUGGACGAGUCCACCUCUGAGCCCUCAUCCUCUGCUUCCUCAAUGGAAGAAGUGACAGCGGGAUUGAGGAGAUCCUCGAAGUAUUCCUUCC
ensembl:lncRNA